rnacentral:rRNA from 1 species
GAUGAACGCUGGCGGCGUGCCUAAUACAUGCAAGUCGAGCGAACGGACGAGAAGCUUGCUUCUCUGAUGUUAGCGGCGGACGGGUGAGUAACACGUGGAUAACCUACCUAUAAGACUGGGAUAACUUCGGGAAACCGGAGCUAAUACCGGAUAAUAUUUUGAACCGCAUGGUUCAAAAGUGAAAGACGGUCUUGCUGUCACUUAUAGAUGGAUCCGCGCUGCAUUAGCUAGUUGGUAAGGUAACGGCUUGCCAAGGCAACGAUGCAUAGCCGACCUGAGAGGGUGAUCGGCCACACUGGAACUGAGACACGGUCCAGACUCCUACGGGAGGCAGCAGUAGGGAAUCUUCCGCAAUGGGCGAAAGCCUGACGGAGCAACGCCGCGUGAGUGAUGAAGGUCUUCGGAUCGUAAAACUCUGUUAUUAGGGAAGAACAUAUGUGUAAGUAACUGUGCACAUCUUGACGGUACCUAAUCAGAAAGCCACGGCUAACUACGUGCCAGCAGCCGCGGUAAUACGUAGGUGGCAAGCGUUAUCCGGAAUUAUUGGGCGUAAAGCGCGCGUAGGCGGUUUUUUAAGUCUGAUGUGAAAGCCCACGGCUCAACCGUGGAGGGUCAUUGGAAACUGGAAAACUUGAGUGCAGAAGAGGAAAGUGGAAUUCCAUGUGUAGCGGUGAAAUGCGCAGAGAUAUGGAGGAACACCAGUGGCGAAGGCGACUUUCUGGUCUGUAACUGACGCUGAUGUGCGAAAGCGUGGGGAUCAAACAGGAUUAGAUACCCUGGUAGUCCACGCCGUAAACGAUGAGUGCUAAGUGUUAGGGGGUUUCCGCCCCUUAGUGCUGCAGCUAACGCAUUAAGCACUCCGCCUGGGGAGUACGACCGCAAGGUUGAAACUCAAAGGAAUUGACGGGGACCCGCACAAGCGGUGGAGCAUGUGGUUUAAUUCGAAGCAACGCGAAGAACCUUACCAAAUCUUGACAUCCUUUGACAACUCUAGAGAUAGAGCCUUCCCCUUCGGGGGACAAAGUGACAGGUGGUGCAUGGUUGUCGUCAGCUCGUGUCGUGAGAUGUUGGGUUAGGUCCCGCAACGAGCGCAACCCUUAAGCUUAGUUGCCAUCAUUAAGUUGGGCACUCUAAGUUGACUGCCGGUGACAAACCGGAGGAAGGUGGGGAUGACGUCAAAUCAUCAUGCCCCUUAUGAUUUGGGCUACACACGUGCUACAAUGGACAAUACAAAGGGCAGCGAAACCGCGAGGUCAAGCAAAUCCCAUAAAGUUGUUCUCAGUUCGGAUUGUAGUCUGCAACUCGACUACAUGAAGCUGGAAUCGCUAGUAAUCGUAGAUCAGCAUGCUACGGUGAAUACGUUCCCGGGUCU